rnacentral:rRNA from 1 species
GUAGUCGAUGGGAAACGGGUUAAUAUUCCCGUACUUCUUACAAUUGCGAUGGGGGGACGGAGAAGGCUAGGUGGGCCUGGCGACGGUUGUCCAGGUUCAAGUGCGUAGGCUGAGAAAUUAGGUAAAUCCGGUUUCUCUUAAGGCUGAGACACGACGUCGAGCUACUACGGUAGUGAAGUCAUUGAUGCCAUGCUUCCAGGAAAAGCCUCUAAGCUUCAGAUUGUAAGGAAUCGUACCCCAAACCGACACAG